GAAAGUAAAAAAGGGCGCAUGGCGGAUGCCUUGGCUCUCGGAGGCGAUGAAGGACGUGAUAAGCUGCGAUAAGCUUUGGGGAGGUGCAAAUGACCUUUGAUCCAGAGAUUUCCGAAUGGGACAACCCAAUAUCUUGAAGAGGUAUUAUCCAACGUUGUUGGAGGCUAACGCAGGGAACUGAAACAUCUUAGUACCUGCAGGAAAAGAAAAUAAACAAUGAUUCCCCCAGUAGUGGCGAGCGAACGGGGAACAGCCCAAACCAUCCAUGUUACGGCAUGGGUGGGGUUGUAGGACUACGCCGUUGCAUGAAGACAUCAGAGAAGAACUUUCUGGAAAGAAAGACCAUAGAGCAUGACAGUUGCGUAUUCGAAUGUUGUCUAAGCAUAGUAGUAUCCUGAGUAGCGCGGAGCACGAGGAAUUCUGCGUGAAUCUGCCGGGACCAUCCGGUAAGGCUAAAUACUCCCGAGAGACCGAUAGCGAACCAGUACCGUGAGGGAAAGGUGAAAAGCACUUCGAACAGAAGAGUGAAAUAGUUCCUGAAACCGUGCGCCUACAAGCGGUCGGAGCUCGUUAAUGAGUGACGGCGUGCCUUUUGCAUAAUGAACCUACGAGUUGCCUUUGCCGGCAAGGUUAAGUGUGACGACACACGUAUCCGAAGCGAAAGCGAGUCUGAACAGGGCGUAUAGUCGGCAGUGGCAGACGCGAAACCAAGUGAUCUACCCUUGGCCAGGUUGAAGGCUGGGUAACACCAGCUGGAGGACCGCACCAAUAAGCGUUGAAAAGCUUCUGGAUGAGCUGAGGGUAGGGGUGAAAGGCUAAUCAAACUUGGAGAUAGCUCGUACUCCCCGAAAUGCAUUUAGGUGCAGCCUUGCGGGUUACUGAUGUGAGGUAGAGCGACUGAUAAGAUGCGAGGGCUUCACCGCCUAUCAAGUCUUGACAAACUCCGAAUGCGCAUCAGUUCUACCGCAGGAGUGAGGGCAUGGGUGCUAAGGUCCGUGCCCGAGAGGAGAAGAAUCCGGACCACCUGCUAAGGUCCCGAAAUGACAGCUAAGUUAAACUAACGAAGUCUGACUGCUAAGACAGCUAGGAUGUUGGCUUGGAAGCAGCCAUUCAUUUAAAGAGUGCGUAACAGCUCACUAGUCGAGGAGUCGGGCGUGGAUAAUAAUCGGGUAUUAAGUUGUCUACCGAAGCAGUGGGAUCAUUAAUAUGAUCGGUAGGGGAGCAUUCCAGUCAGCGUCGAAGGCGUACCGUGAGGUAUUCUGGAGCGUCUGGAAAAGCAAAUGUAGGUAUAAGUAACGAUAAAGGGGGCGGGAAACCCCCUCGCCGAAAGACUAAGGUUUCCUGAUCAACGCUAAUCGGAUCAGGGUCAGUCGGGUCCUAAGGCUCAGCCGAACGGCGAUGCCGAUGGCAGAAACGGUUAAUAUUCCGUUACUACCUUCAGGAGUGACGUGGAGACGCAGUAGUGACAGUGCCGCCAUCUGACGGAAUAGAUGGUUGAAGGGUGUAGGAGUCGAUCAUGGCAGGCAAAUCCACCAUGAGAUCCGAACCUGACAGUAUGCCGCGUCCUUCGGGACAAGGCAAUAGUGCGCGUAAGCAUGCUGCCGAGAAAAUCCGCUAAACUUAAUCCUGCAGGUACCCGUACCGCAAACGGACACACGUAGUCGGGAUGAAUAUUCUAAGGCGCUUGAGUGAUUCACGGUUAAGGAACUAGGCAAACUGACCCUGUAACUUCGGGAUAAAGGGUCCCUACCCUUUUAUGGGAGGGCGCAGAGAAUCGGUCCAGGCAACUGUUUAACAAAAACACAGGGCUGUGCCAAAUCGAAAGAUCCAGUAUACAGCCUGACACCUGCCCGGUGCUGGAAGGUUAAGAGGAGAUGUCAUCGAUAAGAGAAGCGUUGAAUUGAAGCCCCAGUAAACGGCGGCCGUAACUAUAACGGUCCUAAGGUAGCGAAAUUCCUUGUCGGGUAAGUUCCGACCUGCACGAAUGGUGUAAUGAUCUGGACGCUGUCUCAACCGUGAGCUCAGUGAAAUUGUAGUAUCGGUGAAGAUGCCGAUUACCCGCGAUGGGACGAAAAGACCCCGUGAACCUUUACUAUAGCUUAUCAUUGAAUCUGGGCACGUGAUGUGUAGGAUAGGUCGGAGGCUUUGAAGCAGGUACGCCAGUAUUUGUGGAGCCGCUGUUGAAAUACGACCCUUUAUUUGUUUGGAUUCUAACCCGUGGAACGGGGACAUUGAUUGGUGGGUAGUUUGACUGGGGUGGUCGCCUCCAAAAGCGUAACGGAGGCUUCUAAAGGUGCCCUCCGGCCGAUUGGUAACCGGCCUUAGAGUGUAAUGGCAUAAGGGCGCUUGACUGGGAGACUGACAAGUCGAUCAGGUAGGAAACUAGAGCAUAGUGAUCCGGUGUUUCCGUAUGGAAGGGACAUCGCUCAAAGGAUAAAAGGUACUCCGGGGAUAACAGGCUGAUCCCUCCCAAGAGCUCAUAUCGACGGAGUGGUUUGGCACCUCGAUGUCGGCUCGUCACAUCCUGGGGCUGGAGAAGGUCCCAAGGGUUGGGCUGUUCGCCCAUUAAAGUGGCACGCGAGCUGGGUUCAGAACGUCGUGAGACAGUUCGGUCUCUAUCUAUCGUGGGCGUAUGAAAUUUGCGUGGCUCUGACACUAGUACGAGAGGACCGUGUUGGACAGACCUCUGGUUUGCCGGUUGUGCCGCCAGGUGCAUUGCCGGGUAUCUAAGUCUGGAUCGGAUAAGUGCUGAAAGCAUCUAAGUACGAAGCCGGCCACAAGAUUAGAUUUCUCAGGGUCGUUGUAGACUACGACGUUGAUAGGAUGCAGGUGUAAAG
rnacentral:rRNA from 1 species